CGCAGUGCACAAAACAGCAUGGCUCCCACAAUUGUGUACUGUGUGACGUCGAGCUCAACGGAGCACCGGAGAAGCUUUCACACAGAAGAAUUCGCCACAUAAAGUGCAGAGGCUGCAUUACAAG
rnacentral:lncRNA from 1 species